rnacentral:tRNA from 1 species
AGCUCUGUGGUGAAGUUCAUGUCAGAUUGCAAAUCUGAAGACGUAGAUUGAUUGUCUGCCGGGGCUU